CACGUAGGGUGCGAGCGUUGUCCGGAAUUAUUGGGCGUAAAGAGCUCGUAGGCGGUUUGUCGCGUCUGCUGUGAAAACUCGGGGCUUAACCCCGGGCCUGCAGUGGGUACGGGCAGACUAGAGUGCGGUAGGGGAGACUGGAAUUCCUGGUGUAGCGGUGAAAUGCGCAGAUAUCAGGAGGAACACCGAUGGCGAAGGCAGGUCUCUGGGCCGAUACUGACGCUGAGGAGCGAAAGCGUGGGGAGCGAACAGG
rnacentral:rRNA from 1 species